rnacentral:rRNA from 1 species
UACGUAGGCAGCGAGCGUUGUUCGGAAUUACUGGGCGUAAAGAGUGUGUAGGCGGUGCUCUAAGUUCGGUGUGAAAUCUCCUGGCUCAACUGGGAGGGUGCGCCGGAAACUGGAGUGCUUGAGCGUGGGAGAGGAAAGCGGAAUUCCUGGUGUAGCGGUGAAAUGCGUAGAUAUCAGGAGGAACACCAGUGGCGAAGGCGGCCGGCUGGGGUGACCUGACGCUGGAGGCGCGAAAGCGUGGGAGCGAACCGG